UACGUAGGGUGCAAGCGUUGUCCGGAAUUAUUGGGCGUAAAGAGCUUGUAGGCGGUUUGUCGCGUCUGCUGUGAAAUUUCGGGGCUCAACCCCGAACUUGCAGUGGGUACGGGCAGACUAGAGUGUGGUAGGGGAGACUGGAAUUCCUGGUGUAGCGGUGAAAUGCGCAGAUAUCAGGAGGAACGCCGAUGGCGAAGGCAGGUCUCUGGGCCGAUACUGACGCUGAGGAGCGAAAGCGUGGGGAGCGAACAGG
rnacentral:rRNA from 1 species